rnacentral:lncRNA from 1 species
GGAAAUAGUUAAAAGUGUUCAUAAAGGUGGCGGCGGAGCCCACCAAGGUGGAAAAAAGUUAUAUUUACAAAUAUCCAUACAAGGCUAUUUCUGGCCAACAAUCAGAGAAGACACAAGAAAAAUAACUCGUGAAUGUCAAGAAUGUCAGAAAUACUCAGAUUUACAACACUGCCCGUCAAUAGGACUUACAUCAUUAGAUACACCGGUACCUUUCGCCAGAUGGGGUUUAGAUAUUAUUGGCCCAUUUCAGGUAGCUAGUGGAGGAAGAAAAUAUGCAUUUGUGGCAGUUGAAUACUUCACAAAGUGGGCAGAUGCAGAACCAGUCAAAUCAAUAACCCAAGAUAAAGCGGUGAAAUUCGUAUUCAAAAACGUAAUUUGCAAGUUUGGAGUUCUUAUUCAAAUCAUCACGGAUAACGGAGCCCAGUUUGCAGGUAAAGCAAUGCGAAAUUUCUGCAAAGACGGUAAUAUUAAACUGAGCUUUGCAUCAGUACACCACCCGCAAACCAACGGACAAGUGGAAGCGGUCAAUAAAACAAUAAUAAAAUUUUUAAAAAGAAAAGCAGGUGAUAAUCCAAAAACAUGGGCAUAUAGAAUAACAUACAAAACAACAACUAACCAGAUACCAUAAACACUGGCAUUCGGUCUCGAAGCAGUUGCCCUAGUAGAGUUAAUAUGGCCCACAGCAAGAAUAAAAAAUUACAACAUAGAAGAAGCAAUGAAAAUCUAGAAGAAAUAAGAGAAGCAACAUACAUAAAAUAGUCAAAGUACAAAAGAAAAAUGGAAAGAUAUUACAACGCGAGAGUAAGAAAGAAAAACUUGAUCAAAAGAGAUUUAGUGUUACGUAAUGCACAAUCAACGGUAUCGAACAAGAAAAAGACAAGCUAUCUCCAAAUUGAG